rnacentral:rRNA from 1 species
AUCCUGGCUCAGGACGAACGCUGGCGGCGUGCCUAACACAUGCAAGUCGAACGGAGAUGUUGUGUGAGCGGAAGGUGCUUGCACCCAACAAUCUUUCAGCAUCUUAGUGGCGGACGGGUGAGUAACGCGUGGGUAACCUGCCUCAUACAGGGGGAUAACACUUAGAAAUAGGUGCUAAUACCGCAUAAGCGCACGGAAUCGCAUGAUUCAGUGUGAAAAACUCCGGUGGUAUGAGAUGGACCCGCGUCUGAUUAGCUAGAUGGCGGGGUAACGGCCCACCAUGGCGACGAUCAGUAGCCGGUCUGAGAGGAUGAACGGCCACAUUGGGACUGAGAUACGGCCCAGACUCCUACGGGAGGCAGCAGUGAGGAAUAUUGGGCAAUGGGGGAAACCCUGACCCAGCAACGCCGCGUGAAGGAAGAAGGCCUUCGGGUUGUAAACUUCUUUUACCAGGGACGAACACAAUGACGGUACCUGGAGAAAAAGCAACGGCUAACUACGUG